rnacentral:rRNA from 1 species
AGCAGCCGCGGUAAUUCCAGCUCCAAUAGCGUAUAUUAAAGUUGUUGCAGUUAAAAAGCUCGUAGUUGAAUUUCGGGGUCAGCAAGUUGGUCGUGCCACUGGUAUGCACUGGCUUUGCUGGUUCCUCCUUCUUGUAGAACCGUAAUGCCAUUAAUUUGGUGUUGCGGGGAAACAGGACUGUUACUUUGAAAAAAUUAGAGUGUUUAAAGCAGGCUAACGCUUGAAUACAUUAGCAUGGAAUAAUGAAAUAGGACGUUCGAUCCUAUUUUGUUGGUUUCUAGGAUCAACGUAAUGAUUAAUAGGGAUAGUUGGGGGCAUUAGUAUUCAAUUGUCAGAGGUGAAAUUCUUGGAUUUAUUGAAGACUAACUACUGCGAAAGCAUUUGCCAAGGAUGUUUUCAUUAAUCAAGAACGAAAGUUAGGGGAUCGAAGACGAUCAGAUACCGUCGUAG